rnacentral:rRNA from 1 species
UACGGGGGGGGCAAGCGUUGUUCGGAAUUACUGGGCGUAAAGGGCUCGUAGGCGGCCAACUAAGUCAGACGUGAAAUCCCUCGGCUUAACCGGGGAACUGCCUCUGAUACUGGAUGGCUAGAGGUUGGGAGAGGGAUGCGGAAUUCCAGGUGUAGCGGUGAAAUGCGUAGAUAUCUGGAGGAAUACCGGUGGCGAAGGCGGCAUCCUGGACCGGCAUUGACGCUGAGGAGCGAAAGCCAGGGGAGCAAACGGG